GGAUUAGAUACCCGGGUAGUCCUGGCCGUAAACGAUGGGCACUGGGUAGGGGGCUCGCCGAUGGGCUCCCUGCCGUAGGGAAACCGUGAAGUGCCCCGCCUGGGGAGUAUGGUCGCAAGGCUGAAACUCAAAGGAAUUGACGGGGGCUCACACAAGCGGUGGAGCAUGUGGCUUAAUUCGAGGCUACGCGCAAAACCUUAUCCUGGGCUUGACAUGCACGGAUUAGCCGGCGGAAACGUCGGCGAGGCCGCGAGGUACAACGUGCACAGGUGCUGCAUGGCUGUCGUCAGCUCGUGUCGUGGGAUGUUGGGUUAAGUCCCGUAACGAGCGCAACCCCUGUGAUUAGUUGCCAACAGGUGAUGCUGGGGACUCUAAUCAGACCGCCGGCGUUAAG
rnacentral:rRNA from 1 species